rnacentral:lncRNA from 1 species
CAACAGUUUUGGCCGGAGCGAAGAGGAAAUCGAGAGAACGUUCGAGCCGAGCUCGAGCUUAAAAGGGGUUUUGAAAGUGAAGCACGUGGUUGAUGCUGUGGUGUUCCUAGCUUCGGAAGAUUCCGAAUUCGUGAAUGGCCAUAACCUGGCCGUCGAUGGAGGGCUUAACAUGCUUCAAUUGACUCCUCCAGCAGAAUAGGUUUCAAGUUUCCAUGUAUGCCAUAUUUUCCGCUUCGGCACAAAGAAAUAUCAUCGUAACUUGAGAAUGUUUCUCGUGAUAGGCGCUUCUAGCUGAGCUUUCUCGCGACGAACGGUCGUGGCUCUGUAAAUAUUGGACAUAAAUCGCUCUUCAUCGAUCGCAAAACUAAACCAAGAAGUUCAUGUUAACCAACUGCUGCACCAUUUCUGCGCACAGGAGAGCAAUAUCAAUUGGAGGAUUUUGAUACGGCAUAGAAUGUUUGUCGAAACAUCAGGUGCAUCAACACCAGCCAAAAUCUCCUCUGUGGAGGGUUUCGCAUAUCGUAAACCAUAAAUUUUUAAAGGGAUGGAAUGAUUUAUUAUUUUUUUACUUUGAUAAAAACCAAACCGUUACGAAGCACAUCCUAAUAUUUUCUCGAAUCGAUGUUCCGGCACCGUGAUACCUGGAGGGCCCGUGCAAUAAUUUCUCCUAGGUCUAGUGCUCUCCACAUUUCCACUGCUGCCCAAGGACAAGACAUUGGGAUGUACGGAAUUUUCUGUCUCUACACCCAUCAUGUAAGCGAAGUCCCCUUCACACACACACUCACGCCGGACCCCGCACCGCACUACGCCACGCCAAAAGCGAAGAUAAUCUGCCACCUUCCUCCCUGUUUCAUGAUCUUCCUCUGAGAUUCUCUGUUUCUCUCUAGGCGAAAGCCAAGAAACAAGAGACAACUCUCAUGGCGGUCGAAGCUCCGUGUGUCGAUCCUUUUCACACCCAGAUCGCGAACAGGUACUCGUCAAUGGACAUUCGUGGAUGUCUUUUUAAUUUGAAUAUCAUCUGUUAUUUGGGGAAAGCUAAACAGUGGAGAGAAUGAGAGAGGCUUCUCCACCGCGCUCGGCCGCGUGGCCGAGUGUCUAUUGUUGAGUGGAGAAAAGAACUUUACUAACAUGAUGAUUUCUAUAAGAAUAAUAGCAUAUUCAAGCCACAAAUUAUUAAACAAAUGAACAUCACAAUGAUAUUUAAUUAUUUUUUUAAUAUAAAAUAAAUUAUUAUUCUCAUAAUAAAUUAAGAGCACUCACAUCUCUCUUGAAAGAAAAAAUAUGGUAUAUUAGCGAUGACACGUCAGUUUUACAUAAAUCCACUUCUUAAGCAACACGUGUCAUAUUUAGCCUCAUCCGUACUUUAAAACACCUCACCAUGUCUAUCUCCUCUCAUUUUCUUCAUUCAAUAUGUCAUGAGAAGGUCACGCUGGCAAAAAACGAAUCUCUCUCUCUCUCGUCCAUGUUGCUUCGACUUCAAUCCACCGAGCAAAAUUCCCUCAUGAUGGUUUUCUUAUAAUUUCGUCCUCCGUCAUCCCUACUCACCGACGAUCAGUCCAUAUUUGACUAUCGUCUCCAUCCGGUUAGGUUUUUGCUUUCCUCCAGUCUUUCCAUUUGCUGGAGGUCUCGAUAUCUUAUUCUCACCACGCAAUUUUGAUUUCUAGUUUUGCUCUAUCCGCGAUUAUCAACACGCUUUAGGGUUUUGCCCUAGGGGGCUUCCAUGGUGGAAACCAUGGCCAAGCUCUUGCUCUCGCUCUCUCAUCCUUAGGAGAAAAUAUUGCACAGCACGAGAGAGAGAAAGAGGACGUAGACAUGUUGAGGCGUUUCAUCUCUAGCGGGUGCGGUCAAAUAUGGCACGUGUCGCGAGUGAAUUGUGUAAAAAUGACUCGUCACUAUUAGGAUAUCCAAUAUUUUUUUGAACGGACCGGCGUCAAUAAUGACAUGGAGGGCCCGGUCUAUGCAAUAAUUUCUCCCAGGUUUAGUGCCCUCCACACACUUUCGCUACUGCCCAAGGAUAAGAUAUUUUUAAGGAAUCUCAUGGACUUUUCUUUGCUUGUUUCUGACGUCCACUAGAGUAGUCUAGAUUGAACUAGGAUCGCCAAUUUUCUACAGUAGCCUAUUACCAGAGUUUUGUUUUCCCUCAGCCAUAUCUCUGAUCAUUUUUUGGUUCUCGCUUUGCAUACGGAAAGGGAUGACGAACUCCGCCUUGAAAAAACUCGAGGGGAAAGUAGCCAUCGUAACCGGCGGUGCAAGCGGCAUCGGCAAGGAAACGGCUCGCCGUUUCUCCAGUCACGGUGCAAAAGUCGUGAUUGCUGACAUCCAAGAUGAAAAGGGCCGAGACCUCGUAGAAUCAAUCGGCUCCCACUGCUGCAUCUACAUUCACUGUGAUGUUGCGGAUGAGCAACAGGUGAUAUCCUUAGUACACUCGACCCUUCAACUGUAUGGUAAGCUUGAUAUCAUGUUCAGCAACGCUGGAGUGCUCGGUUCUGUUGAGCAAGACAUUCUUGAUUUCGACGUGUCGGCUUGCGAGCGCCUCUUCGCUGUAAAUGUCAAAGGUAUGGCCUCGUGUGUGAAGCACAGCGCCCGCGCAAUGGUGGAUAAGGACAUAAAGGGAAGCAUAAUUUGCACUGCGAGCAUCUUUGCGACCAUCGGGACCGACAAGUACAUAGACUAUACUAUGUCUAAGUAUGCGGUGCUGGGCUUGAUGAGGUCAGCUAGCAAGCAACUCGGAGCACAUGGGAUACGCGUGAACUGUGUGUCGCCAGGAGCAGUCGCGACACCAAUGCCCUGCAACACCUUCGGCCGGAAUGAAGAGGGGAUCGAGAGACUCUUCGAGUCGAGCUCGAGCUUAAAAGGGGUAUUGAAAGUGAAGCACGUGGCUGAUGCUGUGGUGUUCCUAGCUUCGGAAGAUUCCGAAUUCGUGAACGGCCACAACCUGGUCGUCGAUGGAGGGCUUAACACGCUUCAGUUGACUCCUCCAGCAGAAUAGGCUUCACGUUUCCCUGUAUGCCAUAUUUUCCGCUUCGGCACAAAGAAAUAUCACUGUAACUUGUGUUGAUAUAAUAGUUAUUUUCUUUUGCACGU